CAGAGUCUGAUGGAUCUGGGUGACUGGGCAAGUUCUUUAGCUUGUCAAACCUUCAUUUCUCUAAUUUAUAACAUAAGGACAGUACCUUCUUCCUGUCAAGGUUGAGGCAAGCAUUAGUGAGAAACGUCUCAAGGCCUGGUUCACAUUAAAGGUCAAAAAAGAGAGAAAACAUCACUGUUCUCUUCAGCAGAACUUUUGUCAGUGUGAUCGAGAAUUGUCUCAAGUGACAAGUGAGCUGACCAGGGAACCCUGGGUGGCAGGUACUAUUGGCACCAUUUUCCAGAUAAAGAAAAUGAAGUUCUAAGCAGUCAAAUGACAUGUCAAGAUCACCCAACUGAGACUACUGCCCUUCAUUGAUUGAUGUCCGGUGCCUGGAAAGCCAUGGUUUUAUGCAGUUUGUGGAUUUUUUAUUUUUUUUCUUUAUUUGAAAUGGGAAGGAUCACAUUACAUCGAACAGAAACUGUUUUACCUUGCUUGCAAGGAGGUGGAGGCCUCCUUGCCCCCAAGUGUGGUGCCACUUCCGGGUUCCUUGAGCACUUCCAGGUUAUCAGCCCAGCUCUCCUCCAGUUUCUGGGGCUGCUGAAGAAGCUGUUGGGGAAAUUCUGGAGGCUGGGAAGUCCAAGAUCAAAGUGCCAGC
rnacentral:lncRNA from 1 species